UUAAAACUUUGGGGGUGUCCACUAUGGUGGUCUGAGAUUAUACCCUUUGAACCUGAUGCAGUUCAUACUGACGAAGGGAAAAGUAGUGAGCCUCCU
rnacentral:ncRNA from 1 species